rnacentral:lncRNA from 1 species
UCCUCAAAUACCAAAACAUUCCCCAAUGUGGUGUCUCUGAUAGCUGGGCGUUUGUUUUUGUGACCCUGGGUAUUGCAUCUAGAGCCUCAUGCUCACUGAGCAAGCCUUAGACUCUGCUCUAUGUGGUCAGCCCACAUUUUACAUUUUACUGUGAGUCUCAUUAUAUUUCCCAGACUAUCCUUGCACUCACUCUGUACCCCCAGAGGAACCUUGAACUUUCAAUCCUCUUACCCAAAUCUAUUGCAUAGCUUAAAUUGGAGGCCUAUACCAUCAAGCCCAGCUUCUGACAACUGUUUGAUAUCAGGAUGGAAUUCUGAGUUCAAAUUUUAGUUUUUAAAUACAAUAGACUAGGAACAUUUAUUUCCAGUCAUCGAUGAUUUUGAGACAUCAUCCUCUGGGUACCUAUUUCUUAUAGCAGCAAAUGUCUUCCCUGGAGGGAGCAACGGCUGAGAGGAAGAAAAAAUUUUAAGUUGCUUUUUCAUGUUAUUUUUAUUUAUUCACUUUACAUCUUGCUCACUGCCCCUUCACCCCUUGUCACUCCUCCCCCUCUCCUUGUUCUCUGAGAGUGUGGAACCCCCUCUGGUAUUCACUCACUCUGGCACAUCAAAUCUCUGUGGGGCUAGGGGCAUUCUCUUUCACUGAGGCCAGGCAAGGCAGCCCAGCCCAGCUAGAACAUAUCCCACAGACAGGCAACAGCUUUUGGGAUAGCCUCUACUCCAGUUGUUCAGGACCCAUAGAUCUGAGCAGGGAGGCCUAGGUCCAGCCCAUGUGUGUUCUUCGGUUAGUAUAUGCUCUUUAGUUGGUGGUUCAGUCUCUGAGAGCACCCAAGGAUCCAGGUUAUUAACUCUGUUGGUCUUCCAGUGGAGUGCCUGAAGUCUGGGGAAGAAAAUCUUUAAGAAAGAGACCUUGGAGCUCCAUAUUUAAGAUGAAAAUGUGAGAAGAGAAGCUUUUGAAAAAUUUGAAGAGUAUCCAUGAUUGCAGGAGAAAACUGAGCUCAGAGCUACCAGAAGGCCAAGAAAAAAGAUUGGAGUAUCAGGACAGACAACGCGUGAACAAUGAGUCUGGUAGCUGUGACAGAACCCAAAUCACCACCAGAAGAAACAGAUGGGAUCUAGGUGAAGGAGAUUGAAUUUUGGGAGCCUUACCUUUGAAGCAGACCGGGGUCCAGAGAGGCUAGUUGCCUGGCUACUGUAGGGUGAGCAUCAUAUCCACCACAUGCUGCUCUGAGACUUUCUCCCUCACCACAGGCCCUCAGGUAAUGGGACCAUGUCACCAUGAAAUGGAGCCUCUGAAGCAUAAGUCAAAAAUAAACCUUCCUACUCUAACAUGUUAUUAUUUCCAGUGUUUUGUCACAGUGAUGGAAAGCUUACUACCGUAGAUAACAUUAGGAAGCUCUAAGAAACAUUAAAUGCAGCUAAAGUUCCCAGUGGCACCAAAUCACUUGCAUGUUUUAUAAUACCCAGUUGUUGGGUUUUUUGGGUUUUUUGUUUGUUUGUUUGUUUGUUUGUUUGUUUGUUUUUAGCCCAAGGUGUACAAGAGAGAAACUGAUAGUUUCAAUGAAGGAUUGCUGUUCAGAAGUCCAUUACACCAUG